rnacentral:rRNA from 1 species
UACGGAGGUUGCGAGCGUUGUCCGGAAUCACUGGGCGUAAAGGGCGCGUAGGCGGCCUGAUAAGUAGGGGGUGAAAUCCUGCGGCUUAACCGCAGGGCUGCCUUCUAAACUGUCAGGCUAGAGCACAGUAGAGGCAGGUGGAAUUCCCGGUGUAGCGGUGGAAUGCGUAGAGAUCGGGAAGAACAUCAGUGGCGAAGGCGGCCUGCUGGGCUGUUGCUGACGCUGAGGCGCGACAGCGUGGGGAGCAAACAGG